UGGCACAAUUUAGUGAUCAAAAAUAUUGAAAGAAUACAAUAACAUUGAAAGAAUAAUAUUGAAAGAAUUGAAGAGCAUGUCACUCACCCCCUCUAAAUCUCAAUUUUCUUUUCUGUGAAAAGAAGCCUUGGACUAUGGGUGGUUUCCAAAUUCUGCUUCCCAAAAACCAAGUGGCUUCCCAAUGUGCUUCAAGACCUCCGGAGAGAAAGAGAUGCAAAAGUUAUUUAGUCUCCAAGUCACAUUUCAUAGCUAUGGUUGAAAGGGGAUUCUUCUUUGCUUCUCCCCAAUAUCAUAUCUAUGACUCCCAUGAAUAAUCCC
rnacentral:lncRNA from 1 species